UACGGGGGGGAGCAAGCGUUGUCCGGAAUUACUGGGCGUAAAGAGCUCGUAGGUGGUUUUGUCGCGUUGUUCGUGAAAACCGGGGGGCUUAACCCCUCGGCGUGCGGGCGAUACGGGCAGACUUGAGUACUGCAGGGGAGACUGGAAGUUCCUGGUGUAGCGGUGGAAUGCGCAGAUAUCAGGAGGAACACCGGUGGCGAAGGCGGGGUCUCUGGGCAGUAACUGACGCUGAGGAGCGAAAGCGUGGGGAGCGAACAGG
rnacentral:rRNA from 1 species